AACGAACGCUGGCGGCAUGCCUAACACAUGCAAGUCGUACGAGACCUUCGGGUCUAGUGGCGCACGGGUGCGUAACGCGUGGGAAUCUGCCCUUAGGUACGGAAUAACUCAGGGAAACUUGAGCUAAUACCGUAUAAUGACUUCGGUCCAAAGAUUUAUCGCCUAAGGAUGAGCCCGCGUCGGAUUAGCUAGUUGGUGAGGUAAAAGCUCACCAAGGCGACGAUCCGUAGCUGGCUGAGAGGAUGAUCAGCCACACUGGGACUGAGACACGGCCCAGACUCCUACGGGAGGCAGCAGUGGGGAAUAUUGGACAAUGGGCGAAAGCCUGAUCCAGCAAUGCCGCGUGAGUGAUGAAGGCCUUA
rnacentral:rRNA from 1 species